UACGUAGGGACCAAGCGUUGUUCGGAUUUACUGGGCGUAAAGGGCGCGUAGGCGGCGCGGUAAGUCACUUGUGAAAUCUCUGAGCUUAACUCAGAACGGCCAAGUGAUACUGCAGUGCUUGAGUGUGGAAGGGGCAAUCGGAAUCCUUGGUGUAGCGGUGAAAUGCGUAGAUAUCAAGAGGAACACCUGAGGUGAAGACGGGUUGCUGGGCCAACACUGACGCUGAGGCGCGAAAGCCAGGGGAGCAAACGGG
rnacentral:rRNA from 1 species